rnacentral:lncRNA from 1 species
UCUUGCUCUCUUUGGGGCUUAAGGGCUCCGGCCUAUCUUCCCCGUGGCCCCCUGCCUCAUCCCCCUGGCUCCUCUCCAGGGGUCCCGCAUCCUGGGGCUCCACGCUCCGUGGCUGGGGCCCCUCGUCCACCCUGCCCCCACCCUUGCUAUGCUCUGGCCCACAGGUCCGACCCUGGGUGCUGGCCUCGUGGUCGGGGUCCCCGGGGC